rnacentral:rRNA from 1 species
GAUGAACGCUAGCGGCAGGCCUAAUACAUGCAAGUCGAGGGGCAGCACGGUAGCAAUACUGGUGGCGACCGGCGCACGGGUGCGUAACACGUAUGCAACCUGCCUUCAACUGGGAGAUAGCCCGGGGAAACUCGGAUUAAUACCCCAUAAUAUGAUGAUUCAGCAUUGGAUUAUUAUUAAAGCUCUGGCGGUUGAAGAUGGGCAUGCGUUCGAUUAGCUAGUUGGUGUAGGUAAUGGCUCACCAAGGCAACGAUCGAUAGGGGGUCUGAGAGGAUGA